UACGUAGGGUGCGAGCGUUAAUCGGAAUUACUGGGCGUAAAGCGUGCGCAGGCGGUUCGUUGUGUCGGCGGUGAAAGCCCCGGGCUCAACCUGGGAAUGGCCGUUGAAACUGGCGAACUGGAGUGUGGCAGAGGGGGGUGGAAUUCCGCGUGUAGCAGUGAAAUGCGUAGAGAUGCGGAGGAAUACCGAUGGCGAAGGCAGCCCCCUGGGCUGACACUGACGCUCAGGCACGAAAGCGUGGGGAGCAAACAGG
rnacentral:rRNA from 1 species